rnacentral:rRNA from 1 species
GACGAACGCUGGCGGCGUGCCUAAUACAUGCAAGUAGAACGCUGAAGAGAGGAGCUUGCUCUUCUUGGAUGAGUUGCGAACGGGUGAGUAACGCGUAGGUAACCUGCCUUGUAGCGGGGGAUAACUAUUGGAAACGAUAGCUAAUACCGCAUAACAAUGGAUGACACAUGUCAUUUAUUUGAAAGGGGCAAUUGCUCCACUACAAGAUGGACCUGCGUUGUAUUAGCUAGUAGGUGAGGUAAUGGCUCACCUAGGCGACGAUACAUAGCCGACCUGAGAGGGUGAUCGGCCACACUGGGACUGAGACACGGCCCAGACUCCUACGGGAGGCAGCAGUAGGGAAUCUUCGGCAAUGGGGGCAACCCUGACCGAGCAACGCCGCGUGAGUGAAGAAGGGUUUCGGAUCGUAAAGCUCGGUUGUAAGUCAAGAACGGGUGUGAGAGUGGAAAGUUCACACUGUGACGGUAGCUGACCAGAAAGGGACGGCUAACUACGUG